CACAGAGUUAGCCGGUGCUUAUUCUGUCGGUAACGUCAAAACACUUACGUAUUAGGUAAAUGCCCUUCCUCCCAACUUAAAGUGCUUUACAAUCCGAAGACCUUCUUCACACACGCGGCAUGGCUGGAUCAGGCUUUCGCCCAUUGUCCAAUAUUCCCCACUGCUGCCUCCCGUAGGAGUCUGGACCGUGUCUCAGUUCCAGUGUGACUGAUCAUCCUCUCAGACCAGUUACGGAUCGUCGCCUUGGUGAGCCAUUACCUCACCAACUAGCUAAUCCGACCUAGGCUCAUCUGAUAGCGCAAGGCCCGAAGGUCCCCUGCUUUCUCCCGUAGGACGUAUGCGGUAUUAGCGUCCGUUUCCGAACGUUAUCCCCCACUACCAGGCAGAUUCCUAGGCAUUACUCACCCGUCCGCCGCUCGCCACCAGGUACAAGUACCCGUGCUGCCGCUCGACUUGCAUGUGUUAGGCCUGCCGCCAGCGUUCAAUCUGAGCCAGGAUCAAA
rnacentral:rRNA from 1 species